UUGAGUGCAUAACUGAACAUAAUUAUUUGAAGGUUGACUUUUUUUGUAUUUGUAUUUGUAUUAAGCCAUUUAGCAUUGGCUGGUCUAUUCUAUUUUGGCACUCGGGAAAACACUCAUUUUAACUAGUUUGUAAAUAUCAAUGAACAUAUUUAAACAUCUAAGUUGUAAGUAGACAAGCAUAAAAUUAUAACCAUGCCUUUGGUGACCAGUAAAGUGUUUAUUUAAAGGGCCUUGAAAUAUAAGUGCGACUUAUACUCAGGUGCGACUUAUAGUCCGGAAAAUACGGUAUGUAGUUUUAUAUCACAUUGCAAGGCCUUUUACUGUCAGUCAAUCUUUUUUGUCUUGUUUGCUAUUACCAGUAUUUAUCUUUACAGAAUCCACUGUGCCCUUGAGACAAAAGAAGAUUGUGUUUGACAAGAUAAUGCUGUUGUCUCGUGCAAAAGAAGAAAAGACUAUUCUCAUUAAAAAGAUGAAACAACACUGGCAGUUCCUAGCUGGUGUCUCCAAGACAUUAGGUGAUGAUAUAAAGUUGGUCAGAGGUGACUUGAAAGAAGGGAUCUGUCCUACUAACAUAUCUGUGGAGGCAUACGAGGGACUGUGCUGCAUUAUGUUGGCAAGAUUGAGUGACCUACAACAUCAAAUGAGUGAGGUGAAGUCAAAAUAUAGGCAGAUUGUGGUGGAUCCAAGUGUUCUCUCAAUUGAUGAGGAAGAUGGAGUAGCAGUUUGUGAGGAAUUUCCUUACCUCCAUGAUGACAUUGAUUCAUCCGAUGAAGACUGAUGGGACCAAAUGGAAGAACAGUUGGGAGCCUUUGUCCUGCCUUUGAGAUGUUGGAGUUAGCACCAGAGAAGCAGGGUUAUCCAGAGAAGCAGGGUCAUACAGUCAGGGUUCUAAGUUAACACCCGCCAACCCGCCAAAUGCAGGUUAAAAUUCAUUUUGGCGGGUGUUAAUUAAAACUUACUAGCCAGUUUGGCUGGUGAUGCAUGACAUGAGGCUCUGUUCUCGGUCAUUUAUCACCCUGGCAGCACUUCCUACAUUUCCCAUGAACACUGUGCUGUAAUGCUACAUGAUGAUGUUUCAUAUGCCCAUUGGCUGCACGCAGUUUGCAGUGAAACCAGCGCGAAAAAACAUGGAAACGAAUAGAGUGUCCAUCAGAAAACACAAGGAAGGAAGAAGAAAAUGCGAAAGCGUGCGCAUGGAUUAUGACUUUGUGGGUACGGAUUUGAAAACCGAGGGUAUGGUUUACAAAAUCUGUGCGCACAGAUUGGAAAUUUGUGGGCAUGAUUUGUUAAACCGAGGGAACAGUUUAUAAAUUUGUGAGUACGGUUUACAAACUGAGGGGAUGGAUUGCAAAACCGUCGCCACGGAUUGAUUUUUUUUCUCCUACAGGUGAUGUGCGGGGCUCCGUAGGAUAUCGACAAAGAGACAAAGAAACUAAGAAAAUAAAAUGUAAUGCCAAAUGGCUGACGGGUCAUGAAUGGCUUGUGUUUGAUCACAAGAAUGUCGUAAUGCUUUGUCAGGAUUGCCGCGUGUAAAUCACGCGAAAGAAUAAAAACAAAACGAGCAAUUUCGUGGUGGGAACUAAUCAUUUUAAAUUUGAGUCCGUGUAUAUUUUGUUGUAUGCAUUGUACUUUAUAUGUGUUUUUCAUGCCAACAAUGUUAAUAAAAUGAUCAAAUUCA